AACGAACGCUGGCGGCAGGCUUAACACAUGCAAGUCGAACGCCCCGCAAGGGGAGUGGCAGACGGGUGAGUAACGCGUGGGAAUCUACCCAGUUCUACGGAACAACAGAGGGAAACUUCUGCUAAUACCGUAUACGCCCUAAGGGGGAAAGAUUUAUCGGAAUUGGAUGAGCCCGCGUAAGAUUAGCUAGUUGGUGAGGUAAUGGCUCACCAAGGCGACGAUCUUUAGCUGGUCUGAGAGGAUGAUCAGCCACACUGGGACUGAGACACGGCCCAGACUCCUACGGGAGGCAGCAGUGGGGAAUAUUGGACAAUGGGCGCAAGCCUGAUCCAGCCAUGCCGCGUGAGUGAUGAAGGCCUUAGGGUUGUAAAGCUCUUUCAGUAGGGAAGAUAAUGACGGUACCUACAGAAGAAGCCCCGGCUAACUUCGUGCCAGCCGCCGCGGUAAAAC
rnacentral:rRNA from 1 species